CACGUAGGGCGCAAGCGUUGUCCGGAAUUAUUGGGCGUAAAGAGCUCGUAGGCGGUCUGUUGCGUCUGCUGUGAAAACUCGGGGCUUAACCCCGAGCCUGCAGUGGAUACGGGCAGACUAGAGGUAGGUAGGGGAGAACGGAAUUCCUGGUGUAGCGGUGAAAUGCGCAGAUAUCAGGAGGAACACCGGUGGCGAAGGCGGUUCUCUGGGCCUUACCUGACGCUGAGGAGCGAAAGCGUGGGGAGCAAACAGG
rnacentral:rRNA from 1 species